rnacentral:piRNA from 1 species
UUUAUGGUUAAUCCAAAACAA